rnacentral:rRNA from 1 species
UAGGGAAUCUUCCGCAAUGGACGCAAGUCUGACGGAGCAACGCCGCGUGAGUGAAGAGGGAUUUCGGUUCGUAAAACUCUGUUGUUAGAGAAGAACAGCGCAUAGAGUAACUGUUAUGCGUGUGACGGUAUCUAACCAGAAAGCCACGGCUAACUACGUGCCAGCAGCCGCGGUAAUACGUAGGUGGCAAGCGUUGUCCGGAUUUAUUGGGCGUAAAGCGAGCGCAGGCGGUCAAUUAAGUCUGAUGUGAAAGCCCCCGGCUCAACCGGGGAGGGUCAUUGGAAACUGGUUGACUUGAGUGCAGAAGAGGAGAGUGGAAUUCCAUGUGUAGCGGUGAAAUGCGUAGAUAUAUGGAGGAACACCAGUGGCGAAGGCGACUCUCUGGUCUGUAACUGACGCUGAGGCUCGAAAGCGUGGGUAGCAAACAGG